rnacentral:miRNA from 11 species
CCACAGCACUGCCUGGUCAGA